rnacentral:rRNA from 1 species
UGGGGAAUCUUGCACAAUGGGCGAAAGCCUGAUGCAGCAACGCCGCGUGCGGGAAGAAGGCCCUAGGGUUGUAAACCGCUUUCAGCAGGGAAGAAGAUGACGGUACCUGUAGAAGAAGGUGCGGCCAACUACGUGCCAGCAGCCGCGGUGACACGUAGGCACCAAGCGUUGUCCGGAUUUAUUGGGCGUAAAGAGCUCGUAGGCGGUUCGGUAAGUCGGGUGUGAAAACUCUGGGCUCAACCCAGAGCCGCCACCCGAUACUGCUGUGACUCGAGUGCGGUAGGGGAGCGGGGAAUUCCUGGUGUAGCGGUGAAAUGCGCAGAUAUCAGGAGGAACACCAGUGGCGAAGGCGCCGCUCUGGGCCGUGACUGACGCUGAGGAGCGAAAGCGUGGGUAGCAA